rnacentral:rRNA from 1 species
UCAUCGGCCUCAGAUUGGUAG